rfam:Sporanaerobacter acetigenes DSM 13106 genome assembly, contig: EJ96DRAFT_scaffold00004.4
CUCUUAUCUAGAGUGGUGGAGGGACUGGCCCGAUGAAACCCAGCAGCCUGUACAACUGUACAAGGUGCUAAUUCCUGCGGUAUUUAUACCGAGAGAUGAGAG